rnacentral:rRNA from 1 species
UACGUAGGGAGCAAGCGUUGUCCGGAAUCAUUGGGCGUAAAGCGCGUGUAGGCGGUCCGGUAAGUCGGUUGUGAAAGUCCAGGGCUCAACCCUGGGAUGCCGAUCGAUACUGCCGGACUAGAGUCCGGAAGAGGCGAGUGGAAUUCCCGGUGUAGCGGUGAAAUGCGCAGAUAUCUGGAGGAACACCGGUGGCGAAGGCGGCAUCCUGGACCGGUAUUGACGCUGAGGCGCGAAAGCCAGGGGAGCAAACGGG